CCUACGGGUGGCUGCAGUGGGGAAUAUUGGACAAUGGGGGCAACCCUGAUCCAGCCAUGCCGCGUGUGUGAAGAAGGCCCUCGGGUUGUAAAGCACUUUCAGUGAGGAAGAACGCCUGGUGGUUAAUACCCAUCAGGAAAGACAUCACUCACAGAAGAAGCACCGGCUAACUCCGUGCCAGCAGCCGCGGUAAUACGGAGGGUGCGAGCGUUAAUCGGAAUUACUGGGCGUAAAGCGCGCGUAGGUGGCUUGAUAAGCCGGUUGUGAAAGCCCCGGGCUCAACCUGGGAACGGCAUCCGGAACUGUCAAGCUAGAGUGCAGGAGAGGAAGGUAGAAUUCCCGGUGCAGCGGUGAAAUGCGUAGAGAUCGGGAGGAAUACCAGUGGCGAAGGCGGCCUUCUGGACUGACACUGACACUGAGGUGCGAAAGCGUGGGUAGCAAACAGGAUUAGAUACCCUGGUAGUC
rnacentral:rRNA from 1 species